GGUGGGAGCCAGGGAGGGUUUCAAAUGAAUGGGGGACUCUGUCAAUUCUGGAGUUGGAAGGACCGUUCCGGCGGCAGAAUGGGGUGCCCUGGGGGUGGCGCGAGCCUGGAGGCAGGAUGCCAGUGAGGACAGUGUCUGAGGGUCCCAACUGGGAGCGCGAGGGGCCGUCUCCUGCCCAGCUCCCCAGCCUCACGCGGUCCUGUCCUCUUCCGGACCCGCAGCGUGCAUUUUCCUCGCUCAAGGCCCUGUGACCCCGGGCCACGUGCUGUGGUCAUCUGUGUACUUGUCAUCCCUCCACCGGCCGCUUGGAGCAUGUUUCCCUCUCUGCAGCCCUGGGCUGAGGGGCUGGUCACAGUUGGCAGGGCAUGCUCUGGGGGUCACAGGGUCCGAGUGGAAGGGCCCGGGGCGAAUGCAGCAUGUGGUCUGGUUCAUGGGCCCCACAAGGCCUCCCGGCCUCCUGCUCACUUCCUCUUCUCUAUUUGUCCUUAAUCCAACUGUGCAGAGAAAUGUCUUAACCGACUUCUGUAUUGUUUUGUGAAUCAACAAAGGACUGUUGCAUGUUUACCAACCAGAGCUUUAAGGAAAUAACAUAUAAUGAGGGGAGGAAAGGCCAGCUGGGGGUAGCUGGAGCUUGUCUGCACGGCUCUCGGUUUCUCCCGUCGCAGAGAAGUCAGUUGUGCUUCGCAGCCUCGGGUGUUUUCCAGAGGUGAGUGUGCUGGUGCACAAACACACUUGCUUGCAGAGUUUUCUCCCUCCCCCUUCCAGGACUCUCCCCGUGCCGCCCUCUGUUGCAUCCGCGUGGGCGCAGAUAGGAUGGUUGUAGGUUAACCAGGGCCGAAAGGCAGUUGUCACCUGACAUCUGCGCCAACAGCUUAUGUAAAACGAGCCGCUUCCAGCAAGCACGAGGCCCAGGCGGGAGCCGCCCGCCGCUGGCAUCUUCCAGGCGCCGUCUAUUCACAGGACAAUAUUUGAAGUAUUCGAAGUAUGAGCGUCACAGCCCAAGACCGAAUGCCACGCUCCUUGUGCGGAAGGAGAGCGGGUAAGCUGAGAGCCGGGGAAGGCUCAUCAGUCGGUUCGGGGAUGAAUCAGAAGUCGGCGAUUACUCUGUUUUGAAACCAUCUGACAGCAUUUGCUGGUUUGAGUUCCUGUGCAGAGGCUAAGAGCUGGGGUGCUAAGGCGGACAGGCCCGGAUGAGAUUCCAGCUCAGCCGCAGGCCUGCAGCCCAGCUCGGCCAUCUGCUGGGUGGCCAAGCCGUGCAGGUUUGCCAGGGUCUCCUGGGCGUUGGGAAGCCCCUCAUCCGGGACACGUGUACAAGACCACGACCGUGCUUAGCUUCUCCGCUGAGUGAGACGCAGAGGGGGUCACACCCAUGCCAGCGUGAACCAGCCCCUCAGCCCAGGGCCGCAGAGAGGGGAAGGUGCUCCCAACCUGCCGGAGGAGGGAUGGCAAGGACACACUCGACUCACACAGUGAGCGCCCUGCUGAGGAGGCCCCCACGAUGCCCUUGGAGGACCCGGGUCACGGGGGGCCCUGCAGAGCCCAAGAGACACGGCUGCACACACACCCGAGUCUGCACAAGCGCGGCAGCGUUCAGGAGCGAGGGUUCCCUCCGUGUCCUACUGAUGGGGAGUGACAGCUCUGAGGGCAAGGCCUCGCCGAACGUCAAUGGCUGGAAGGGGAAGGACAUCAACCUUGAACCCAGCUGUCCUACAUCCGGCCCGAGUCCCGUCCCAGGUCCCUGCUCCUUUCAAGCACUUGGUACCAGAUGGAAGUUGGACGGAUGCUCCGGGCUGGCACAAGCUUUCCGCAGGACGCAGCACCCGACGCAGGCCCCGCCCUCGGGUCCCAGGCCCCUCGGUGCUUUCAGGGGCGGCUCCCGGGCGGGACCUCGCAGCCUCUGGGAUCGGAAGAACCUGAGGCAAAUGGAAGCUUCUCGCCCUGGUGAAGAAAGACGCGUAAAUGUCUUGGAUGGUAUCUUUCCCUCCCUGACUUUGAAGUGAGUCGAAGACAAGCCAAGUGGCCUAAAUUGAUAAUAAGCACCCUUGAGUGUGCUGGUAGCUCCGAGUCAACAAGUGUCCAGAACAUCGUGAGUGUUGGGAGACGGGGCCGUGAAGCCGUUUUGGACGGAAAGUCGUGUGCAGCAGAGUCGGGUCCAGAAGCGAAAGUCUCAGGAGAAGAGGUGACGUUCUGGAGAUCAUCAGGCCGCCGCGGGGAUCUAAAUCCAAGACUCCAAUCUUGGCUUCCUUCUCUUCCCCCUAACGGUCACCCUGUGGUGUCACUGGUUGGUGUGAGGAAUGUAGAGGCCCCGAGAAUUAAGGGCAACCCCUUCUGCCUUUGAGGGACUUCCAGUCUAGGAGAGGGUGAACGGGUGAAAGGACGAGCGGACGAUCCUUGACAACAUGCUCAGGGGGACGAACAAAGGCUUCCAUGCAAGUCUAACUGCACCCUGGCCUGCACCCUGUGCUUCCAAGGCCCCACCCCCACCCCCUGUGGGACCUGGGGCGUGUCCCUAACCUCCUGAAGCCCCAGUUUCCUCAUGUGGAGGACCACCUCCUCGGGUCGCCGCGGAAGCAUUCAGUAUAGAGCCGGGCACACACUCGGUGCUCAGUCGAUGGAAGCAGAAACUCAAACCCCAGAAACACUACUUCCUCCCCUUACACUUCCCGUGGGGACCCCGCCAUCUGCAACGUAGACGUAGAUUGCCACCUGCUUGCCCUUCAGUCCUCGUAAGAGCUUUCACAACUAACUAGGAAGAUUCGGAGUGAAUAUUCACUGUAGAAGUGGCUUCAGGGGGGAUCAGUAUGAGACCAGCAAGCACAUGACACCUCGGAUACGCCCGAGACUGUUCUGGGACCUCGCUGGCCCUGCGUAACCUGUAUAACACGGACGCUGUCGGCACACCAGCUCCAUUAUCACCUCCAUUUACAGAUCAGGAAACCGGGGUCCAGAGGAUGCUGAAUACCUCACCCCGCGUCGUAGGGAGGGAGGGAACUCAGCCGGGAUGAGGCCUGCUCGGCCGGGCCAGGAGCGGGGCUCUACGCGGACACUGCGGCCCUCACUGACAGGCGGCCUGACGAAUGGAUCACGGGAUACGGGGCCAGGUAACCCUCCUUCUUACAGAACCUGAAGCUGAGGCGGACAGAGGGCAGCUGACCUGCCGGAGCUCACACGGUCGGCUUCAGGGUAAAUGUCUGGGGGGUGGCAGGAUCCCUCUUCCCUGCCCCUUUGGAAUUAGAUGUAGCCCUAGUGACUUAUCUGACACCAUAAAGUGUCGGUAGAAGCUGCCUGGAGCUCAGCAGGAUGGGAGCUUGAAGAACUUGCCUCCUGUCCUCGAAGGACAUGGUGAAGGUGAAAUGAAGCUUCUGUCCCUCCGGGUCCCCGAGCGACUAGACGAGCAGGGCCCACCUGGCGACCAGGGCACCGAGUGGGCGACACGUGCUCAUACACAAAGCUGGUGAUACGGGGGCAGGAUUGUCGUCACAGCAGAGCCUGGGCUCCCCCGACCAGACUCGCACCGCUGGGAGCCGGAGCUCGGGUAGCCAAGGCCUCGUCCGGCUUCCGUGGCGUUACCUGCGGCGUGGGCGGCCGCGCUCCAGAGCCUCACCCACCAGGGACGUGGCCCCCUCACCCGCUGCACUAUUCUUGGAUUGCGGGAGCCGAUCGCUCACGGCACGAAGGGAAGACAGCUGCAGAGUUCCAGCCGCCGACAGGAGGUUUUAGACGGACAUGGACAGCUUGGCUCUGCUGGCGUGAUGGAGCGGACGCGGCCUUCCCCAGAGCGCUGUCCCGGACCGGCUUCUCUUAGUAAAGAGAACAUCGUCGCGAGAACGAGCUUUCCAUAAAGCAUUGAGGUCAGCAACAGUAUCUCCUAAAGCUAAAGAUGUAAAGUCAAGGUUAACUGACCAGGGUCUUCUCCAUGUCGUAGGCUGGUGCCCUCUGCCUCACCAACUCCUGCCCCUCCAACGUGGUGUCAGCUCCUCUGAGAAGCCCGCUCUAACUCCUUCAGCCAAACUGAACACUCCCCACCUUUGGAGCCCUGUUGAAAUUAUGGAUCUCGCCCCACUGUCUUCUACCUUAGGCUCGUGCACCAGUGGGUGACCGCCUUUUUCCACCAGGCCACACCAGCAAGGAUCUUUUAUAGCCGGCCUCAUUUCAUCACCAACAAGAUGGGAGGGAGACAUGGAGGAUCAUUCAGGAGGAGCCUGUGAACGUGAACGGACCCUCCAGCAAGUAAAGCCCUGAGAGAAGCUCCCGGCGCAGAAUUAGGGCAGCCCAGCGGGAGCUGUAACCCUUCCUGUGGAGGCCCCACCGGCCCCCGCAGAUCCAGGAGGAGCCACCCCCCCCCCCCGCUCCCUCCACACCCGAGGCAGCCUCUGUCCCCCAGCCCCAGGCCAGGACCCCGCCCAGACCCCAGCCGCUCACGUCCUCACAGCCUAGGUUCCCACCCUUUCUGCAGGGGACUUUAGCUAGGGCAGGGUAGACCUUAGAUGACAGGAAAUACAUGUGGUAGAAAACCAGCAAAAGCAAAACUCUUCAGGGGUGCCCAGGGGCUCAGCGGUGGAGCAUCUGCCUUCAGCCCAGGGCAUGACCCCGGGGUCCCAGGAUCGAGUCCCGCAUCAGGCUCCCUGCAUGGAGCCUGCCUCUCCCUCUGCCUGUG